CACGCCGUAAACGAUGAAUGCUAGCCGUUGGGCAGCUUGCUGUUCAGUGGCGCAGCUAACGCAUUAAGCAUUCCGCCUGGGGAGUACGGCCGCAAGGUUGAAACUCAAAGGAAUUGACGGGGGCCCGCACAAGCGGUGGAGCAUGUGGUUUAAUUCGACGCAACGCGCAGAACCUUACCAGGGUUUGACAUCCUGCGACCGCCUCUUAAUAGGGGUUUUCCCGCAAGGGACGCAGAGACAGGUGC
rnacentral:rRNA from 2 species